UACGGAGGAUGCAAGCGUUAUCCGGAAUGAUUGGGCGUAAAGCGUCCGCAGGUGGCGAUGUAAGUCUGCUGUUAAAGAGUGAGGCUUAACCUCAUAAGAGCAGUGGAAACUACAUCGCUAGAGUGCGUUCGGGGCAGAGGGAAUUCCUGGUGUAGCGGUGAAAUGCGUAGAGAUCAGGAAGAACACCGGUGGCGAAGGCGCUCUGCUAGGCCGCAACUGACACUGAGGGACGAAAGCUAGGGGAGCGAAUGGG
rnacentral:rRNA from 1 species